rnacentral:rRNA from 1 species
CACGAAGUUAGCCGGGGCUUAUUCCUCCGGUACCGUCAUUAUCGUCCCGGAUAAAAGAGCUUUACAACCCUAAGGCCUUCAUCACUCACGCGGCAUGGCUGGAUCAGGCUUGCGCCCAUUGUCCAAUAUUCCCCACUGCUGCCUCCCGUAGGAGUCUGGGCCGUGUCUCAGUCCCAGUGUGGCUGAUCAUCCUCUCAGACCAGCUACUGAUCGUCGCCUUGGUAGGCCGUUACCCCACCAACUAGCUAAUCAGACGCGGGCCGAUCUUCCGGCAGUAAACCUUUCCCCAUAAGGGCGUAUCCGGUAUUAGCCCUAGUUUCCCAGGGUUAUUCCGAACCAGAAGGCACGUUCCCACGCGUUACUCACCCGUCCGCCGCUGACCCCGAAGGGCCCGCUCGACUUGCAUGUGUUAAGCCUGCCGCCAGCGUUCGCUCUGAGCCAGGAUCAAACUCU